GAAAUGCGAUAAGUAAUGUGAAUUGCAGAAUUCAGUGAAUCAUCGAAUCUUUGAACGCACCUUGCGCUCCUUGGUAUUCCUUGGAGCAUGCCUGUUUGAGUAUCAUGAAAUCUUCAAAGUAAAUCUUUUGUUAACUCAAUUGGUUUCUACUUUGGUAUUGGAGGUCUUUGCAGCUUCACACCUGCUCCUCUUUGUUCAUUAGCUGGAUCUCAGUGUUAUGCUUGGUUCCACUCGGCGUGAUAAGUUAUCUAUCGCUGAGGACACUGUAAAAGGUGGCCAAGGUAAAUGCAGAUGAACCGCUUCUAAUAGUCCAUUGACUUGGACAAUACUUUUAUGAUCUGAUCUCCAAUCAGGUAGGACUACCCGCUGAACUGAAG
rnacentral:misc_RNA from 1 species